rnacentral:rRNA from 1 species
CCUACGGGUGGCAGCAGUGGGGAAUAUUGGACAAUGGGCGAAAGCCUGAUCCAGCCAUGCCGCGUGUGUGAAGAAGGCCUUCGGGUUGUAAAGCACUUUCAGUGGGGAAGAAAGCCUUGGGGCUAAUACCCUCGAGGAAGGACAUCACCCACAGAAGAAGCACCGGCUAACUCCGUGCCAGCAGCCGCGGUAAUACGGAGGGGGCGAGCGUUAAUCGGAAUUACUGGGCGUAAAGCGCGCGUAGGCGGUCUGUUAAGCCGGUUGUGAAAGCCCCGGGCUCAACCUGGGAACGGCAUCCGGAACUGUCAGGCUAGAGUGCAGGAGAGGAAGGUAGAAUUCCCGGUGUAGCGGUGAAAUGCGUAGAGAUCGGGAGGAAUACCAGUGGCGAAGGCGGCCUUCUGGACUGACACUGACGCUGAGGUGCGAAAGCGUGGGUAGCAAACAGGAUUAGAUACCCUAGUAGUC